UCGUUAGAUGAUGAGGAGAUGGUCUCGUACAUCAUCACUGGCCUCGACAUUGAUUACAAUCCAAUUGUGCCAACUAUCGUCGCACGAGUGGAACCCUUUUCAGUCAACGAGUUGUACGCUCAACUCCUGAGCUUCAAAA